GGUAGGGAGAAGUUGAUUGAACAAAUCUGUAAAACCCAAUUCAUCAAUGACCCAGUUAUCGCUAUCAACAUCAAUGAUGGUCUUGUCGAAAUCAAAAACCACCACAAUUCCAGCCAUUGCAGGUUACUGAAAGAAAAAUGCAAGAAAAAGCAGGCAAGAAAUUUGCUGUGUUUAACAAGUUCCUGGGGUUGUUAGGACAAAGGACAGAAACAAAGGGUAUUUAUAUGAGGAAAAAGGAAGCAUUUUUAUUUGGAUGCCAUUGGAAUAUUAC
rnacentral:misc_RNA from 1 species